UCCUGACACAGGGAGGUAGUGACAAGAAAUAACAAUACAGGGCAAUUGUCUUGUAAUUGGAAUGAUGGUGACGUAAAAUCUCACCAAAGUAACAAUUGGAGGGCAAGUCUGGUGCCAGCAGCCGCGGUAAUUCCAGCUCCAAUAGCGUAUAUUAAACUUGUUGCAGUUAAAAAGCUCGUAGUUGAAUUUCUGCGUUGCCCGACUCGGCUACUUGCCUUGUCUGGUUUCGCUUUUGGGGUUUUCCCCUUUUUACUUUGAGAAAAUUAGAGUGUUUCAAGCAGACUUGUGUCUUGAAUACUUCAGCAUGGAAUAAUAAAGUAGGACUUUGGUUCUAUUUUGUUGGUUUGUGAACCUUAGUAAUGGUUAAUAGGAACGGUUGGGGGCAUUCGUA
rnacentral:rRNA from 1 species